CAUUAACCUUUCAAAUCAGGGUGCGGCGCGGCCCCCGAGGAGCGGAAACAAUCCUUGGGAGGUAUGCGGGGGCUUCGAGCCCCCCAUUUACGCACGCACGACUGCCAUCCUUACUUUACGAGCACCUUCUGUUCUCCCUCGGCGGGGCAACCUGCCGUUGGAACCGAAUAAACUCUUUUUGCAUCUAGCAUUACCUGUUCCGAAACAAACAAUCGUUACAACUUUCAACAAUGGAUCUCUUGGCUCUGGCAUCGAUGAAGAACGCAGCGAAAUGCGAUAAGUAGUGUGAAUUGCAGAAUUCAGUGAAUCAUCGAAUCUUUGAACGCACAUUGCGCCCCUCGGUAUUCCGUGGGGCAUGCCUGUUCGAGCGUCAUCUACACCCUCAAGCUCUGCUUGGUGUUGGGCGUCUGUCCCGCCUCCGCGCGUGGACUCGCCCCAAAUUCAUUGGCAGCGGUCCUUGCCUCCUCUCGCGCAGCACAUUGCGCUUCUCGAGGGGCUACGGCUCGCGUCCAACAAGCACAUUUACCGUCUUUGACCUCGGAUCAGGUAGGGAUACCCGCUGAACUUAA
rnacentral:rRNA from 1 species